CGGUUUUUCACAGCUAAAAGCAAAGAACAAAGCAGCUCGUAUUUGUUUAGUGUGGCAAAUCAUCACAGCUCGCUUUGAUUGCAUUCGCAUUUAACCGUUAAGUCAACAAACAACUUGUAACGCAUUGCACACAGGAUGACAAUGAUUUUAUUGACACAUUGACAUUAUAACACACUUAUAAAGCGAAGUCAUCUUGUUACAACAAUCGUCGUAAAAGGUUGCCGAAAAAGGGGCGAAAAACAACGGCUCUUCAGCUGCUAGACCUCGACGGAGUUCCGGCUGGUAAAGGCCGAGAUAAAUUAGCAUGACAUGAAUCAGCAGCACAGGCAAAAUACUGCUUUCAAUUAAA